rnacentral:lncRNA from 1 species
UAAGUUUUUACACUAAAAUUUAUAUAUGUCUCUUAGAUGUAGGGGUGGUUCUUGUCUCUAGUUUGCAUUGUUGGUAAAUCAAGCCUAGAAAAAUUUCAUUUAAUAAAAUCAGCGAAAAUCGGGAUCUUUUUCUUGAUUAUGUAUACAUAUAUAGAAUUAAAGAAAUACCUUAGACUUCUGAUAAAGAUUCAAAGGACUACUGUAAUCUUUUCCACCACUAUUGUUGGGAUUUGAAGAUUAUAAAUUGUAAUCUUCUUUGCUAUCCUCUAUGUGAGAGGUGAAAACCCUAGAAAAUUCUUUUUCCUUUUAUAGAGAAAAAUUAUGUGUUUAAAAGAAUUUAUGUGUUCCAAUUUCCUCUUCUUCAUAAGACACUUAUUAGAGUAAGAGUUCGACUAGAAAUUGAGAUGGCAGAAGAACUGUAGACUGAUGAACUUCCUAACUCUAACUUAAUAGUUGAAGUCCAAACAUUUCAUAACACACCAAAGCUACUAAAUUAACUUGAGGCUAUUCCACUAAAAGCCUAAAGGUACACUCUACUAACUCAUAUCAUAAAUAGAAGCCCUAUUAAUUAAAACUCCUUUUAAUUAAUAUUAGGCGUGAUCUUAGACCAAUAAUAAUUACUUAAUUAACCCUCUAUUUGAUGCUCGUGAUCAAAGUUAGGACCCACGAUAAAUAUCUUGCCUAAGUAAUUACAUAUUUAUCCCUUAAUUCAAUUUUGAUUCUAAUAAUCACUUUUAAUAUAUCUAUAUUUUUUAAUAUAUUACUAAUAAAUAUUAUUAUUCAAUAAAUAGUUUAUUGAAUAAACUGCAGUCAUAAAUUUAAAUGAUCAAGUACCACAAAUAGGUUAGGUAAGCAUUAUAUAUAUAGAUUCUAUUUUGUAAGUAUAUGCUCCUAAGAUUAGGGGUGGCAAUUUGUAGGCUUAGGCUGGACUUUUGCCCAGGUCCAACCCCACAUUAUUCAAACCCAGAGCCUUCAAAAGCUCGUCCAAAUUUGGACGGGCGGGGCUUGAGCUUUUUUAUUAAUUAUAAAAUAUUUAAAUUAAAGAUAAUUAUCUAAUACACAAUAGAAUAAUAGUCCAAUGUAUAAAAUAUUAGUAAUAGAACUUAAUAAAUAACAAAUAUUAAUAUAAAAAAUAACCCUUGUGGGCCGGACUUUAAGCCCGCAGGCCUAGACCGGGCCGAUCCGAACUUUUUUACCAUCCCUAAUUUAUAAGGUGCAUGUGAUAUGCUUUCAAAUGUUCAUCCUUUUUAUCCGUAUGUCAAAGGAUAAAAGCAUAGGCAAGUAUAAGUUCAAUAAAAGCAUAGGCUAAGCGAUAUCGUUUUACCAUUAUUUUAAUUAAAAAAAUAUCGUUCUUCCUAUAUUUAUGUCAUUGCGUUAACAUUUUCUUCUUUCGUUUAUCGGGAAAAAUUCAAUAAUAUAAGCCCAAUUAAUAAUGUUUAUGGUAUCUAAUGCAUGUACAUCUUUUUUGUUCAUUCUUUAAUGUGAAAAAUAGUAAACAAACAUGAGCCCCAAAUUUAGUAGAGUACAGCUUUAAUUUGAACAAAUUAAGCCUUGAAGGCAAAGAAUUUUGAAAUAGAUUUUUAAUUAGUAUAAUCAGCCUUCAAUGUCAGCUUUAUUUUUUAAUAGAUUAUUUCGACAAUCUAUUCUUUCAAUUUCCCAUUACAAUGAAGAGUAUGUGAUCUUUUUAUUACUUGACCUGAGGUUUUAACUUCUAUAUUCUAACAGUGUUAUUCAAUGUUGAUCUGAUUUUUAUGCUCAGUUUUUUUUUUUAAAUCUAUGUUUUAAGGAAAAUUCUAUGAUUACUAUAAAUGUAAUACAUUUAAGAUAUAUAAUUACUAAGUCUUAGCCAAAUUUAAUUAAAGAUUAAUUUAAUAAAUUACCGAAAAUAAUAAAGUAAAUGAAAAAUAAAGCACGCAAUUAAGUAAUCAUGCUUCUAAAGGGCUAAUUAACCACAAUAGGCAUAGAUAUUAAUUUGACUUCUAUGAAAGUCCCUUCUAGUUUCUCAAAAUUAAAAAAUUACAAUAAAAAGCCAAAUAAAAACUCAUUGCUUCUAAAGUAGAAAAGUUUGAGUACUAGAUAGGCUGCCCAAAAUACAUUUUCAUUACUCACAUAUCUCUAUAGAAAGUAAUUUUUUUUUUAAAAAAAAAACCUAUUUGGCUAAUAUUCAGUCGUCUUUUUUGUUGAUGGAAUUAUCCUCUUAACAAUAUUUUAAAAAGUUUACAUGAAUAUUCCUUUUUAAAAAAAAAGAAUUAAUAACGUGUAUUAUUAGGAUAAAAAUUAUCAUCAAUACGUAUGUAUAUAGGCACAAAUAUAUGAAAAAAAUCAAGUUUAAGUACAAUGUAUAGGUCAAUGCCUAAGAGUCAAGCCUAAAUUAGGGCAACACAUAACUACAAAAUACAAUUUCGUACACUACAAAAUUUUAAUAUCAUAAGUAGGGGUAUAAAAAAAUCAUUGUUGCCAAAAAACCAAAAGCUAACUAGAGGUUUGGUUUUGUUUCAAAAAUUAAAAAAACAAGUCAAUUCGUAAAAUCAAAAACAGAAAAAAAAACUACAAAAUAUAGAGGAAUUUACAGUUUAAAAAGAAAAACCAAGCCAAAACGAAAUUGAAUCGAAACUCGAACCAACUCAAUUCAGUUUGAUUUGAAUUUUAUUUUAUAAAAAAAAAUGAUCGAUUUAGAUCGAUUCGAAAAUGAACCAUGCCUCUCACCCCAACUAGAAGAAGACUAUAACAAUAAGAAGAAUUUACUUUUUGAAUUUCUAAACUAUAUAGUGAUAGGUCCCAACCAAAGUUAGCUAACAAUCACAAGAGUUUUUUUGCUUAUGGCGAGAAAAAGACCAAGAUGAAUUGAUUUAAUUGACUGCCUACUUUUAUUAUGCUGGAGCCUUUAUUUAUAAUACUAAACAUAACAAACUCAUCCUACAAUAACGGCUGCAAUCAAAAUACGUAAACUGAAAUAACAUCCUUGCUACUUUUACGAAACACAAAGCUAAACAACUACUACUAAGGAUUUGAUCUUAUCCUCAAUCCUAAGGAUUUGAUCUUAUCCACAAUCCUUGCACGAUCGUUAUUCUCAUAUGUAAUCAUGCAUGCAUGAACCAUGCAAGGGCAAGGCUCAAGGCUUCACGUCAUGUACUUGGAAUUUGGCUUAUGCCCUCUGCUAGACUUAGGGGUGGCAAAAUAGCCCGGGCUUGUCCAGGCCCGGCCAAGCCCAGCCCAUCCGUGCAGGCCAGGCUUUAGGCCCGUGGGCCUGGAUAUGGGCCCAAAUUUACAAAGCCCACAUAUGUUGGGCCUGGACAAGGGCUUCGCAAAAAAGCCCGGACUUGACCCGAGCUUUUUAA